GCCUGGCUGGCUCAGUCAGUAGAGCAUGUGACUCUUGAUCGCAGGGGUGGGAGUUCGAGCCCCACAUCGGGCA
rnacentral:tRNA from 1 species